AGACUUCCUGUUUCUUUGCUGAUUUUUAUCUUUUUUUUUUAUUGGUUUAAACAUGUUCAUAAUUGCUUUUGAAGAUGAUGGUUAUCUUAGAGUCUUUGUCGGAUAAUUCUAAUACCUCUAUCUUCUCAUGUUUUUCUUUGUUGAUUGCUGUUGCUGUGUGUUCCUUCAGUUUGAGAUGUUCCUGGUUCUUGGUGUAACAAGUGGCUUUUGAUUGAAACUUAGAAAUUUCUGGUACUAUAUUGCGAAACCCUGGAUCUUAUUUAACUUCUGUUUUAGCUGAGUUGUUCUGACAUUAUUCUGGCUGGGACAGAGGGAGAGAGGGAGUCAGUGCUGUCUCUUUACUGCUAAAUGAGAGUAGAAACUUAGCUUCCUUGCUCAGCAUAAUGACACUUGAGGAAAGGAUUCCUUAUUCCUGCUGGGCAGAGAUGGGAGUUCUGGCUCCCCAUCAGGCCUCCACUCAUACACCUCUAGCUAGGAUGGGUGGGAGUGCCUCAUUACUGCUCCUACAUUCCUCCACUGACGCCAUGGAGGGGGCCUCAUUACCUGUAGAAGCUAAUGGAAGUCCAACCUCCAUUAGGUCUGUCUGACACACCCCAGCCCAUAGAGGGAGGGACAUCUCAUUACUGCCAGGUGGAGUGGAUAUUUAGACUCUCUAUUCUCCUUUGUAGGUGGAUGGGGGGUUAGGCCACCAUUUUUUCCUGUGGUGUUUGGCUUGAGUAGAGGAGUUAUUGUUUAGGAGUAUCUGUCUUGCUAGGCUGCCCAUCCUAGUUUUUUUUUUUUUUUUUUAAUUAUUAUUAGGGAGAGCAGGAGCUUUUUGUUGUUUGGUUGCUUUUUGCCUGUGUCCAUUGGCAUUUCUGGGUUGCCAAUGUCUUCAGCUCCAAGUCGGGGAUAUAUGAGGCAAAAAGAAAACUCAUUGUGUCGUUACGUGGGUCCCAGUACCCCUAGCUAUUCCUCCUUCUUCUUUCCAUUUCUCAGAGUCUCCACAUGUUUGCUUUAUACAAUAAUGCUAGAUUUUCUUUAUUGUACAUAGUGGGAGAAAUAGGGAAGAGUAUGUCUACUCCAUGUUCCCACAAGAUGGAUUUUGAGGAAAUUAUUUGAGAUGGAUUUAUGGAAAAUCAGAAGGCUGAGAAGUUACUCAAUAAUAGUCUCCAUGUAAAUCAAAAUUCUAGGCAUAUUAGUAAUCACUCACAUUCAUUUUCAUUAAGAAUUAUCAAAAAACAGAUUGGGAGCCACAGAUUAGAUCAUAAUAACAAUUAUCUUACCAGUGUCUAUUUUAGAAAUGUUUUAAUUAGCCUUUCUUGGAGCAAUUCUUUAAAACACAACAGAUUUUCAUUGAAUUCUGCUGGAAGACAGUAUUGUAACUCAAGGGUGUCUUACAAGACAUCUUUUCACUUUUUCUUCAUAUAGAUCAUAAUGUGGCUCCUAGCAUGUUAUAAAUGUUAAAUAGGCAUUAAGUUGUUUCACUAAAGGUCUUCUAUGUAGGUAAUGUUUCCUUUCUAAGUAAUAAUUUUAAAGGCAACUUGGAGCUUAUUUUAUUUCCUGACUUUUUUUUAAAGGGUAAAUCAUUCCAGCCUUAGAAUAGAAAUGUUUAAUCUCCUGGGACUCCUCUGAUGAAUGGCCAAAGGGAUAAUGGCUUGGCUAUAUGAGUUUCAACAUAUUUUUUUAGCAAAAUCAUGGAUAUCCAAAUGUAGAUUCUGGCAAUUUGGGAUGUCAUGUCAGUAUGAGAAAUUCCCAAGAGGACUCUGGAACUCUCAUGGAAUUACUAGGUUACAGCAGUAAACAUAGUAGGCAUAGUUUUUCAAUAGUCAAAACAAAGUAUGAUCUAUGUAACAUAUUUUGUAUAAUAAGUAAUACAAGCGUAAUACAAAACAGGUGACUAAUAUUUCUUAACUAUUAAGUGUACCAUAUGUGAUAAAAUAUAGCCAAAUGGUAAUUUAAUUAUUUCCAGAAAAAUAACAGAUACAUUCCAAUAUGUAAAAAGCAGAUGAUCUCCUGUGUUGUGAACUUUGAGGCUAUACACGUGAUUGUGUAUUGCGAUGAACUUUUCAGUUUAUUAUAUGUAAUCAAUUAUGAAAAGCAAAUGAAUAUUCAAAUAUGCUGGGAAGAAACAAUUGUGCUUUUUGGGUGAAGAAACCAGUCAUCCAAAAAUAUAUUUCCAAGAAAUAAGUUCUGCCACGUUGAGCUGAACAUUUGUACCAUUAACUCAGUUAUUGAAAGCACGAAGCUCAUGGAUGAGAUCCAAACCUUUCUUGCACCCUGAGCUGCUUCUUUACUCCAUAGUUAUGGACAUACCCCUAUCUGGGACUGUUCCUCGGAUAAUGCAGCUUGUGAAAACCAGAUGAGAAAAUACAUUUGAAUAACUGGAAAAUCUAAAGUAUUUUUUCUGAUGUUGGGUCAGUAACAUUAAUUUUAUUUACUAUGGAGAAUAUUCAAUAAUUCAAUGGAGUGUCUGACACAUGUCUGCAUGAUAAAUAUACCAAAUUAAUAAAGUCCAUGGUCCUGAUCUGUUUUGGGCAUCAGCUCCCAGGACAUAUGAACUCAUGUGGGAUAUUAUUGGCUUAAAUCAAUAUCCAAAAUUGUAGUAUUGUCUUCCUUAAAACCUUCUUCUAGUACCAACAGGUAUAUUUUCACUUUUCCUAGUCAGCUUGGCCUUAAUGAUGCAUAUUGUUAAGUGAAAAAAGCCAGUGUGAAAGGCUAUGUAUGGUACAAUUCCAACUAUAUGACAUUCUGGAUAAUGCAGUAAUAUAGAGACAGUAAAUAGAUCAGUGGUUGGUAGAAGUUUUGGUGGAAUGGGAAAAGGAAUGAAUAGGUGAAGCACAGGGGAUUUUUAGAGCAGUAAAACUAUUCUGAAUAUUUUAAGGGUAGAUACAUGACAUCAUGGGUUUGUCAAAAUCCAUAGAACAGUACAACAUAAAGAAUGAGACAAUGUAAACUAUGGCUUUUAGCUAAUAGUAGUGUAUCAGUGUUGGUUCAUCAGUUGUAACAAAUGUACCACAGUAAAGCAAUAUGUUAAUACAAGGAGAAACAGUAUUUAGGGGAGGAGAGAUAUAUUAACUUAAAAAUGUAAACACUAGAUUAAAUGAAAUUGUGGAGUAUUGUAUGUAAUAUGCAAACUUUCCGUUAACUUUCCUACUUUGAGACCCAGGUCACCCUUCCUUCUCAACUUUGUCUGUUGUCUUAGCCUCAGGAGUAAAAGUCCCCUCACCCCAAACCCCAAACACACGCAGUAGGUGAAAAGGGGCUACAAGCUCUGACUUUUCUUGAAUCAGAUCUUUAACCAAUCUCUUGCUUUUCUGUCUUAACACUCUGCCUUCUGUAGACUUUGAACCUGAAUCUAUCUGUAAUUCUAUCCAAAUUUGCUCACUGCUCUUCAAUAUUCUCCUGUCCAGACAGCUCCAUUGAACUUUCCUCUAUUCUGUUGAUUCACUUACUAUUCUAUUUGUUUUCCAUCUUCAAAAAUUUGUUGUAAUGUCUUGUAUACUGUUGUCUUUUCUUUUUGUCCUUGUCAAUUUAAACAUUCAAAAUUGGUUUACCUUCAUUUCAGUGAAGCUUCAAGGGUGAGCACAUAUACCCAAACAACCAUACUUAACUAAAAAAUAUAGGUGGCCUUCUGGUCAUCUUCUCUCUCUGCUUUCCUUUCGUGGUCCCCAUAUUUUUCUUCCUCUGGACAUGACUACUCCUAUUAAGUAAAGUUAAACAUCAUCUUUGUCAAUACACUGUCUAAUAAUAUGAACUACUUUAAACUGAAUAAUGCCCGUCUUUGUCAAUGAAUGAAUUCAACUGAAUCAUGAGACAACAUUUGCUGUAAUUAUUUAAUUAAUGGAAAUGAAGUAUUGUAAUAUCGAGGGACUUGAAUACAUGUUGAAGGAUACUGUGGAUAAGAACUAUGGCUCAAAGCCAACUCAGAGUUAUUCAUGUUUCAAAUAAUGAAAUGAUGAAUUUUCAUCCUUUUUCCUUUUCCCUUCUCUAAGCUUUGCAUCCUGUUUGAAGCAAAGGCAUCUGUCUUUUCCCAGAUAGCAAGAACUUUGGUUGCUGUGGCAACAUGUUGACUGGGGAACUUAAAAUAAAGGUGGCUCAUUUCCAAAUCACUCUUUUUCUUUUUCCUCACAAAAACAGAACACAUUGGCAAGAAAGCUCUACUGGAAUCUUUAUAAUCAAUAAAUCUGUUGUUUGCUGAAGGAUUAUAUCCCAAAAUUUGCAUGUUAAGCAGGUUAAAGCCAUAAUGGGUGCAUUUCCUGAAGAAGUUGGAAGUUUAAAUGAUGAAGAAUUAAUGGGAGGAAGAUUACAGCAGAGCUCAAGACAAAGAAGCAGGGAUAAGGAUGGAGUAGAGCAUUGUGGGAAAGGAGCUAUAAAGGAUCUCAAAUAUCAACGGAAUGAUUUUCCCUUAUUUUGUAUGUGAAGAACUGAGAAGCAUAGAGGUUAAGUGAAAUUCCCGUGGUCAUAUAUCGGCAAAUGGCAAAGUUGAAAGUUGAAAGAAGUUCUCCUGACUUCCAAGUUACUGCCCUUUUUAUUCCUUCAUUUCAAGACUGGGCAUCUACACUAUAGUACACUACAGAUGGGAUAAAUGAGUUCUCUAAGAAAUUAGUGAAAUAGUGGUGAGAGAAAAAAUGAGGAAGGCAAUGUACACAAAAUGUCAACUGAAUUACAUACUUUAUUACUUUCCUUUCUAUGAAAAUAAUAUUCUAUUUCAAAGCUAUAUUAACUAGCUUUCCAUUGAUCCAUUCUUUUAUGCUUUUGUAUUUUCACAAUAUAUUAAAAUUAUCCAAGUGCUAGAGCAAGUAGGGUAUAUUUUGAUAGAAUCAAGUAUAAUAUUUUGUCACAUUUAGGAUGUAUGUCUUCCUUUGUAUUAUCACACACAACUUUGAAAUCCAAAAGAUAUGUCCUAUUCAUUUUGAGCGUUGAUUAAAACAACAAAUGGAAUGACUAUGUCAGCAUUGAUAUUCUGAACUGACCACAGAGUAAGAAGGUAAAUGAAAUAAAUGCCUCUAGGAGUGAAGAGUUUUUUGAGGAAGUAUUUUAAGGCAAGAGAGAAGCUACCAGAUGCUCACUAGUUAUUAAAAGAAGAGCUUGCUGCCUUCACAGCAUGAGUCAUCAUCCCCUGUGCUGGUGUGGCUUGUCAUCAGUUCUCUCUCUUUCCUUGUCCUCAGUCCUGUCACUUACUGUAGAUCUACGCUUCUAUUUCAGGACAUACUUGGGGAUGAAUGAAUCCUUACCAGGAAGCAUAUAAGAACUCUCUGACUGAAGCAAGGAUUGUUUGGUAAUCAAGAUCAUUUUGGUCAUUGUCACUUCAAAUCUAUUCUUCUGUUUGCUUCACCUUCUCCUAGUCAACUUAUUCAAAAUGCUUUUUCUCAACCAACACUGAAACUACCUUCUUCCCCUACCUUCUGAUAUCCAUGCACAUCAUUUUUUCCUUAGUCUGUCUGGCUUCUGACCCUUAGUGUUUCCUGACCCUCGAGCUGUAUGUGGUUACCCAUAUCUAGUUUUGACUCAUAGAUUUGUUCUGAAUAACGCUUCUUCCCUGUCUUGACUAAGCUUUUCCAGUCCUUGCCCUAAAUCCACAACUGUCUGAAUUCAGUGAUUUAGCAGAACAUUACUGAGUAUUUUUCCUCAAAGGAAAACAUUUUAUAAGUGUAAUAAUAUACAUUAUACAUAUAUUUAUAUUUUGUAAUCACAAUAAUGUACAUUGCAAUAGUUUUACAAUGGCCUAGGAAUUUAAAUGCUUGUUUUUAAAAACAACAGUAGUUUAUUGAGAACUUAAGUACCAGACAACAGUACGAUUUUUUUUGACAUGUGUCAUUUCUUUUGCUCAUCUUAACAUUAUGACUUGUAGAGGUCGUGACCUCAGUGUUUCAGAUUAGUACACCGAAGCUGGGAGAGGUUAAACUGUUUAGCUUAGUUCUCAUAGCUAUCGAGUGGCAGAGCUAGGGUUUGAAUGCAAGUGCAGUGGACUCAAAAGUUAUGUUGUGUUGUUAUAUAAUAUUGUGGUACCACCCAUGUAUGUUUUGGUCCAACCUCACAGGACAAAUUUAUAUCUAGGUGUUGGGCCUCGUUUGAGAAUACCAGUAUAUUAAUGAUCUUUGGUAGCUAUUGUCCAUUCCUGUAUCUUUUAGCCUGAUCAUUAGGUGGCUCUUAGAACAUCCUGUUGACAAUAUUUAUGAAUGACUGAAAGUUAACAUUGUUCUGCAUUUCAAAUAUUUACUUGGUUGUAUUGAUACUCAAAUAUGUAAAAACUGGGCUCAGGCUGUUUUCUGUACUGCAUCUGCUAUGACAUUGACAGAACCAAAGCAGUUCAUUGUUCAUUUCUUGAUUUGUUUUUGAUCAAGGGCUUUCGGUUGCAGUUUAUGAGCCCUCAUGAGUUUCAUGUGUUCUUUGAAUCACCUGAAAAAAAAACAUAUGUGUGUAUGUGUGUGUGUGUAUCUUGUGUGAACUUUUUAAUAGAUAAAUUUAUCUAUAGAUAUAUUCAUUUACCUAUCUGAAUAUGUAUUCUUAUUAGUAUAUUCUUUUGGUUGAUAUAUUCAUCCAAAUCUUGAAGUAGUCUGAGUUCUCAAAUAUGCUUAAAGCCAACAGCUCAAUAUCCAAAAAUCCACUAUUAGGUAAAAAUCAAUUUUGUCAUUAUGUUCUUUAGAUAGACUCAAACAGCAAUGAAUUUACUAAAACAUAAUAUCAUUUAGUUACCUUUUUCUUCUUCAUGUGCAAUCAUAGAAUAAGGCAUUGCAAUAGCUGACUUUUGAACUCUUUCUGUGAACAUGAAUCUUGCUCACAUCAAUCCAGGAAUCUUGCUCAGACAGGAAAUGAGAUUAUGUAACUGGAAAAAAGAAAUCCUUUUCUACCUCCUCUAUAGCCAGACUGAGAUGAUGUUCUGUCUGCACACUUAAUUGGGUCCUCACAAAUAUUUGUAUGAUUCUAAGCUUUAGUUAGAUCUUAGAAUGAGCAGGAAAAAUUUCAGAAUUUGGUUUGUCAGUAGAUGCUGAAGAAAAUAGAACUGCUUUGCAUUAGAUUUUUUUUUUUCUCCUCUUAGUGCAGAGAAGGGGAAGAAGAGAUUGAUUAGUGUAGGUACAUAGAGAAAAGAGGAGAUGGUCUAAUGUCAUUGCAAACAGGCCAAAGGAUUUCUGUGCAUAGAUAUUAAGUUUUAAUCUGUUUGCUUUCUUAACUCCAAUGCAAUAAUAUUGAUAACUAAUACUUAUUGGACUUUUACUUUGUGGCCAGUCAUUGUGCUAAUGCAACAUGCCUUAUCUCAUUAAUUCUUUAUUACAACUAUGUGAGGUGGUACCAUCAUUUUACAAGUAUGUGACCAAGAUUCUACAAGCCAUAAGGGGCACAAUCAGUCUAGACAGGUAUUCUUAUCCAAUUCUUUUCUUCAUAUCCUUCUGGAAAUUCCUUUCUGCUCUCCUGCGUUCAGUGUCUGCUCUACACACAACUAGUAGUAGUGUGUGUGUGUGUGUGUGUGUGUGUUUGCAAGCUUGAUUUUUGUGUUUGUUAGCUUAUUUUGGUUAAAACUAAGAAAAAACGUUGAGUUCUCUAUUUGCAUGGCUUCCAGUGUGGAGAUAAAGCAUUACUUUGAGAAGUAAAGAAAGAAAAAUGAUCUUGGUAGGUAGAAGUUUGGAGUCAAAAACCUGAAUCCUGAGAUGAUCAAGAUAGUGUAAACUCUGGCAUACUCAAAAAACUUGUUGAAUGCUUGAGAUUUUCCACAAAGUUAUGGAUUGUACAAAAUAUAUCUUUACAUUAAGGGAGCAGUGUGACCUCAGCUGAUAUCUGAGGUACAGUUGGAAUUGCACAACUUGGUCUUUGGGAACUUUUGUUUAUCCUCACUAAUAAUCUAGUUAAUAAUCUUUUCUGUAUUUAUUAUCUGGCAUUUUAUGUCAAAAUUGCCUGGGUUAUAGUUUGAGACAUAAUAUCAUUAGUCUUUUCCUUGUGUGGCAUAUUUAUAUCUCUAGUUUUGGGAAAGAUGAUCAUAUGUCCCAGUUUGUUCAAAAUAGUCUUCAUUUAUGCUUUUUGUCCUAGAAAAAUUAUUAAUAAAGUCCUAGUUUGUACAAUAAAUUCAUGAUCACUCUAUCUUUUAGCACCAUGUCUAUUUCUUACUAUCUCCGAAGGAUUUGCAACAGGAGUUUAACAGUUUCACCUUCAAGUUUUCUAAAAUUCACAAUGAUGCAAUCCAAUUAGAGAAAAGAUAUGAAUUCAUUACUUUUAAGGCAAUUUCUGAGAUGUAUGACUGUCAUAUACCUGUAAUUGACCAUAAGGUAGAUGUGAGAGAAUAUAUCCCCUACACUUUCCUACUAAAAAGAACAGUAUAGUUUAAUGGAUAAAGUGUGGGCAUGAUGACUAGGUUCAAGUCUCAGCUUUAAUUAAUUGUGUGAAUUUUAGAACUUAUUUUUGAACCACUAUUCUUUGACUUUCUAUUUCUUUUUUUUUUAUAGAUUUUUUUUUAAAGAUUUUUUUAUUUUUUCCUUUUUCUCCUCAAA